GAUGAACGCUGGCGGCGUGCCUAAUACAUGCAAGUCGAGCGGACGGACGAGAAGCUUGCUGCUCUGAUGUUAGCGGCGGACGGGUGAGUAACACGUGGAUAACCUACCUAUAAGACAGGGAUAACUUCGGGAAACCGGAGCUAAUACCGGAUAAUAUUAUGAACCGCAUGGUUCAAUAGUGAAAGACGGUCUUGCUGUCACUUAUAGAUGGUACCGCGCUGCAUUAGCUAGUUGGUAUGGUAACGGCUUACCACGGCAACGAUGCAUAGCCGACCUGAGAGGGGGAUCGUCCACACUGCGACUGAGACACGGUCCAGACUCCUACGGGGGGCCGCAGCAGGGUAUCUUGCGCGAUGGGCGAAAGCCUGACGGAGCAAUGCCGCGUGGGUUAUGGAGGUCUUCCGGUCGGAAAACUGUGUUAUUAGGGAAGAACAUAUGUGUAAGUAACUGUGCACAUCUUGACGGUACCUAAUCAGAAAGCCACGGCUAACUACGUG
rnacentral:rRNA from 1 species